ACACGUCAUACAUUUUAACUGGGAGAUUAAUGAACACAUUGUAAAACUGUAUCUUUUCAGUGGACGCGUGUAAAAACAAAUGGAAGAGCUUGAGGGACACGUACGCCAAGAAGAAGAAGGACGAGGAGAAGAGGAAAAAGGAGAGCGCGGAAAACCCCGACCACAGGCCACAGUGGAGGUUCUUCGCUGUGCUGUCGUUCCUCGACCGGUUUGUAAUAACGCGCUCCAACACCUCGGGACAGGAGAGCGACGAGGAGCAAGAGAUGGAAGACGGCCAGGAGCCCGGGAGGAAGCUGGAAACAUCCCACACUUCACCGACUGAAGAUGAACCGAGCGUCCAACAGGAGGAGGAGCCGCCACAGACCGAGGCGGCGUUCUUCCUGCCAGGGAUUUACCUGGAGGAUAAGUUAAUCAUCGCGGUUUGCAAUCGGCCCGAGUUAUACGACUCCAGGUCGAGCCACUAUCGGGACAGGAAACGAGUGAGACUCGCCUGGAGAGAGAUCAGCAAAGAGCUGGGAGUGCCAGUGGAGUUGUGCAAAACCAAGUGGAAGGGUUUGAGGGACACCUACGCCAAGAAGAAGCGAGAGGAGGAGAAGAGGAAGAAGGACAGCGGCUCAAAAGCAGAGCAAAGGCCACAGUGGAGGUUCUUCGCUGUUCUGUCGUUCCUCGACCGGUUCCUGAUGCCGCGCAGCAGCAGGACGCGGCACGGGGACACGGCUGAGGACCUGCACUCCAACACCUCGGGCCUGGAGAGCGACGAGGAGCCCGAGAUGGAAGAGUCCGCUUUACCUCCGGAGCCGAGGGCCCCUCCGUCACCUGCGGUUUCCUCUGGCUCCCAGUCUCCUUUCCCUGGGCCGUCUCCGUCUGCUGCUGCCCCGUCCGCCUCUACUCCUGCUCCCUCAGCUCAAAGGAGAAGAGCGGUGCGUCGUCCCCGGGACCAGUCCUCGUCGGUGGAGGAGGCGCUCCUGGAGUACCUGAGGCAGCCUCCGCCCCCACCGCCUCGGGACUACACGGCUGUGGAGCACUACCUCCUCAGCCUCGCGCCGUCCCUGGAGAGGCUGCCCUUUUUGGACCAAGAGUUGGUUAAAACCAAAAUGAAUCAGAUCAUUUUAAACCAUUUACAAAAUCUGAGCCCGGAUUAAAAGUGAACGGUCCCGUUGUCUCCAGGGAAGGACUUACGGGCGUCGUCUCCUCCUCCUAGGGCUGGGCACCGUUACACCACAGCAGUCUGGUAUCGAAAAAGAAGGUUUAGGUUCUAAUGGUAACGAAAUAAUAAAAGCAGCACCGAAAAGAAAUGUGAAAUCUUUAUAUUCAAGUUUUGAUCAAAAUUUAAAAGAAAUAAAAACGUGGGGGAAAAAAUAACAUUUGGGGCAAAAUUGAGAAGAAAUGUGGACUAAUAAGUGGAAAAUUGGGGUAUAUUUGGGGGGGAAAAAAAUAAAAAUUGGGGGAAAUUUAGGGGAAAAUAUGGAAAGUUUAGGGGGGAAACUUGAGAAUGUUUUAAAAAUGGGGGAAAAAAAUAAACUUUUUUUAUUUUCUGCCCUUUUGUUGUUAAAGGAAGUUUCUUGGUUGUUUCGCCUCAAACAAAUGAUAGAAAUGCAAAAGAAAUUAAAUGGAAGGAAAAGGGAUUAAUUAACAUUAUUAAUCUGUUUUAUAUGAACAUUUCAGUAUCGGUAUCGUUAAAGUACUGGUAUCGGUACCCAGCCCUAUUAUUCAAUGGCCUUCACUCUUUCCACCAAGCAAGUUUCUUAUUUUCUUUUAUUUAAAUUUAUACAUGAGUUGUAUUUAUUUGUGUUAUGUUCAGUGUUUUUGUUAUAAAAUAAAAAAAAACAUAAUUUUGAUGCAUCACAGUUACUUUGUCAUGGCGUUUCCGGUGGAGCGCAAAGUCAUAAACGAGGGCUAAUGUUAAAAUCUAAAGCUCAGUAGAUUUAUUUGUGUAAAAUGUUCAUUAAAGUUUCUGGAGGGAGGGGGAAAGGAAGGAAGGGAGGGAAAGAAAGAAAGAAGGAAAUAAAGCAGGAAAGGAAAGCGAUGCCUUUUUGUAUAUUUUUCAUCAGUAGGUCCCAGUAGUGAACCCUGGUCUGCUCCACCACCACCCCUCCCCUCACCUGGCUCUCCCCCGUCACUCCCUCACUCCCCUCCACCACAGACCACACCUGCUCUGACUGCAUUCAAUGACAUACGGAACUCUACCUAAUCUUGUGUGAAACUCACAUUAGCAUAAAUAAGACGUGUAGCAAAGUAAACAUUUUGAGACAUUUAUUUGCUAAACUUCAACUUUCAUGAAAGUCUUUUUUUUUUUUUUAGCAUUUGGAACAUAAUACUUCCAUUUAGA
ensembl:lncRNA